GGUGGCUCAAUGGUAGAGCGCUUGCCUUGCAUGUAUGAAGCCCUGGGUUCGAUUCCUCAGCACCA
rnacentral:tRNA from 1 species